AGAAACCUCUUCUCCCGCCUGCCACAAGAGUCCUACAAAAAGACUAAUGUAUCCCUGGACGAAUUAGCUGCUCAGUGUCGUGACUGUUCAAUUUUUUUUUUUAUUAUUUCUUUUUCUUCUUCAUUUUUUUUUUCUUCUUCCAACAACAAACAAUUCCAGCAGACCAAAUCCAACGGACGAACUCCGGCGGACGAACUCCGACAGACCAGAUCCGACAGACCAUAUAUGACAGACCAGAGUCGAUAGAGCAGAUCCGGCGGACCAUAGCAAUUCUGGUCCAGAUUCGGCAGACCAGAUUCGAC
rnacentral:lncRNA from 1 species